AUUGAACGCUGGCGGCAUGCUUUACACAUGCAAGUCGAACGGGGUGAUGGUGCUUGCACUAUCACUUAGCGGCGGACGGGUGAGUAAUGCUUAGGAAUCUGCCUAUUAGUGGGGGACAACAUCUCGAAAGGGAUGCUAAUACCGCAUACGUCCUACGGGAGAAAGCAGGGGAUCACUUGUGACCUUGCGCUAAUAGAUGAGCCUAAGUCGGAUUAGCUAGUUGGUGGGGUAAAGGCCUACCAAGGCGACGAUCUGUAGCGGGUCUGAGAGGAUGAUCCGCCACACUGGGACUGAGACACGGCCCAGACUCCUACGGGAGGCAGCAGUGGGGAAUAUUGGACAAUGGGGGGAACCCUGAUCCAGCCAUGCCGCGUGUGUGAAGAAGGCCUUAUGGUUGUAAAGCACUUUAAGCGAGGAGGAGGCUCUUUUGGUUAAUACCCAAGAUGAGUGGACGUUACUCGCAGAAUAAGCACCGGCUAACUCUGUGCCAGCCGCCGCCGUAA
rnacentral:rRNA from 1 species